rnacentral:rRNA from 1 species
AGCUCCAGUAGCGUAUAUUAAAGUUGUUGCAGUUAAAAAGCUCGUAGUUGAACUUCGGGCCGGGUGGGUCGGUCCGCCUUGCGGUGAGUACUGAUCCCACCUGGCCUUUCUUUCUGGUGAGGCAGCGUACUUCGGUGCGUUGUUGAACCAGGACUUUUACUUUGAAAAAAUUAGAGUGUUCAAAGCAGGCAUUUGCCCGAAUACAUUAGCAUGGAAUAAUAGAAUAAGACGUUUCUCUUAUUUUAUUGGCUAUAAGAGAUCGUAAUGAUUAAUAGGGACAGUUGGGGUCGUUCGUAUUCGAUUGUCAGAGGUGAAAUUCUUAGAUUUAUCGAAGACCAACUACUGCGAAAGCAUUCGACAAGGAUGUUUUCA